rnacentral:rRNA from 1 species
GACGAACCGUGCAAACGUUGUUCGGAAUCACUGGGCUUAAAGGGCGCGUAGGCGGCUUGCCAAGUCAGGGGUGAAAUCUUUCGGCUUAACCGGAAAAGUGCCUUUGAUACUGGCGAGCUAGAGGGAGGUAGGGGCAUGUGGAACUUCCGGUGGAGCGGUGAAAUGCGUUGAUAUCGGAAGGAACGCCGGUGGCGAAAGCGACGUGCUGGAUCUCUUCUGACGCUGAGGCGCGAAAGCUAGGGGAGCGAACGGG